rnacentral:tRNA from 2 species
GUUUCCAUGGUCUAAGGGAUAAGACGCGGGCCUACGAAGCCUGAAGUGCAAGUUCGAUUCUUGCUGGGAACGCCA